rnacentral:rRNA from 1 species
UAAAUGGAUGGCUAAGUGUUAGGGGGUUUCCGCCCCUUAGUGCUGCAGCUAACGCAUUAAGCACUCCGCCUGGGGAGUACGGUCGCAAGACUGAAACUCAAAGGAAUUGACGGGGGCCCGCACAAGCGGUGGAGCAUGUGGUUUAAUUCGAAGCAACGCGAAGAACCUUACCAGGUCUUGACAUCCUCUGACAAUCCUAGAGAUAGGACGUCCCCUUCGGGGGCAGAGUGACAGGUGGUGCAUGGUUGUCGUCAGCUCGUGUCGUGAGAUGUUGGGUUAAGUCCCGCAACGAGCGCAACCCUUGAUCUUAGUUGCCAGCAUUCAGUUGGGCACUCUAAGGUGACUGCCGGUGACAAACCGGAGGAAGGUGGGGAUGACGUCAAAUCAUCAUGCCCCUUAUGACCUGGGCUACACACGUGCUACAAUGGACAGAACAAAGGGCAGCGAAACCGCGAGGUUAAGCCAAUCCCACAAAUCUGUUCUCAGUUCGGAUCGCAGUCUGCAACUCGACUGCGUGAAGCUGGAAUCGCUAGUAAUCGCGGAUCAACAUGCCGCGGUGAAAUACGUUUCCCGGGCCUUGU